CCGGGACCAUCCGGUAAGGCUAAAUACUCCCGAGAGACCGAUAGCGAACCAGUACUGUGAAGGAAAGGUGAAAAGCACUUCGAAUAGAAGAGUGAAAUAGUCCCUGAAACCAUGCGCCUACAAGCGGUCGGAGCAGCUUCAGCUGUGACGGCGUGCCUUUUGCAUAAUGAACCUACGAGUUACUUUUUCCGGCAAGGUUAAGCAUCUUGAGAUGUGGAUCCGAAGCGAAAGCGAGUCUGAACAGGGCGGAUAGUCGGAAGGAGUAGACGCGAAACCAAGUGAUCUACCCUUGGGCAGGUUGAAGGUUAGGUAACACUAACUGGAGGACCGAACCGAUAAGCGUUGAAAAGCUUCCGGAUGACCUGAGGGUGGGGGUGAAAGGCUAAUCAAACUUGGAGAUAGCUCGUACUCCCCGAAAUGCAUUUAGGUGCAGCCUUGAGAGUUACUAAUGUGAGGUAGAGCGACUGAUAAGAUGCGAGGGCUUCACCGCCUAUCAAGUCUUGAUAAACUCCGAAUGCGCAUUAGUUCUAUCUCAGGAGUGAGGGCAUGGGUGCUAAGGUCCAUGUCCUAAAGGAGAAGAAUCCAGACCAUCAGCUAAGGUCCCCAAAUAAACACUAAGUUGAACUAACGAAGUCAGAUUGCUAAGACAGCUAGGAUGUUGGCUUGGAAGCAGCCAUUCAUUUAAAGAGUGCGUAACAGCUCACUAGUCGAGGAGUUUGGCGUGGAUAAUAAUCGGGCAUAAGUGUUUUACCGAAGCUAUGGGAUCCUAACGGAUCGGUAGGGGAGCAUUCCACUCAGCGUUGAAGGCGAAGCGUGAGCUUUACUGGAGCGUGUGGAAAAGCAAAUGUAGGUAUAAGUAACGAUAAAGGGGGUGAGAAACCCCCUCGCCGAAAGACUAAGGUUUCCUGAUCAACGCUAAUCGGAUCAGGGUUAGUCGGGUCCUAAGGCUCAGCCGAACGGUGAGGCCGAUGGCAGAACAGGUUAAUAUUCCUGUACUACCUAUAGGAGUGAUGUGGAGACGGAGGAGUGACAACGCCGCGGACUGACGGAAUAGUCCGUUAAAGGGUGUAGAUGUUGAUUAUCCCAGGCAAAUCCGGGAUAAGAGUCGAACCUGACAGUAUACCAAUUUCCUCGGAAAACGGUAAUAGUGCGUGUAAACAUACUCCCAAGAAAAUCCGCUAAACUUAAUCUUAUAGGUACCCGUACCGUAAACGGACACACGUAGUCGGGUUGAAUAUACUCAGGCGCUUGAGUGAAUCACGGUUAAGGAACUAGGCAAAUUGACCCUGUAACUUCGGGAUAAAGGGUCCCUACCCGGUGACGGGAGGGCGCAGAGAAUAGGUCCAGGCAACUGUUUAACAAAAACACAGGGCUGUGCAAAAUUGAAAGAUCACGUAUACAGCCUGACACCUGCCCGGUGCUGGAAGGUUAAGAGGAGAUGUCAUCGCAAGAGAAGCAUUGAAUUGAAGCCCCAGUAAACGGCGGCCGUAACUAUAACGGUCCUAAGGUAGCGAAAUUCCUUGUCGGGUAAGUUCCGACCUGCACGAAUGGUGUAAUGAUCUGGACACUGUCUCAACCGUGAGCUCAGUGAAAUUGUAGUAUCGGUGAAGAUGCCGAUUACCCGCGAUGGGACGAAAAGACCCCGUGAACCUUUACUAUAGCUUAACAUUGAAUUUGGGUAAUUGAUGUGUAGGAUAGGCCGGAGACUUUGAAGCAGGCACGCCAGUGUUUGUGGAGUCGCUGUUGAAAUACGGCCCUUUGGUUAUUUGAGUUCUAACUCGCUGAUGCGAGGACACUGUUUGGUGGGUAGUUUGACUGGGGUGGUCGCCUCCAAAAGCGUAACGGAGGCUUCUAAAGGUGCCCUCACGCCGAUUGGUAACCGGCGGUAGAGUGUAAUGGCAUAAGGGCGCUUGACUGGGAGACUUACAAGUCGAUCAGGUAGGAAACUAGAGCAUAGUGAUCCGGUGUUUCCGUAUGGAAGGGACAUCGCUCAAAGGAUAAAAGGUACUCCGGGGAUAACAGGCUGAUCCCUCCCAAGAGCUCAUAUCGACGGAGGGGUUUGGCACCUCGAUGUCGGCUCGUCACAUCCUGGGGCUGGAGAAGGUCCCAAGGGUUGGGCUGUUCGCCCAUUAAAGUGGC
rnacentral:rRNA from 1 species